UACAGCAGAGCUGCCAGUCACAGCUUGCAAGGGGCAGGUGUGCCCCAAUAGGAUUUCAAACGCUGAACAGAGAGUCUGGGGCUAAUUACUAUAACCAGAGAGGCUCACAAUCAUCUGCCACCAUGCUGGUGGAUGGGGUUCCAGUGACCUGCCCUGGGGACUGCUCACCUCCGACUUCUGUCCAAACCUGACUGAGGUUUGGCUCUUGGUGACUGUGUCGUGAUGCUGUAGUGCUGCCUUGGUCAUUCAGAUCCAAGAGCCAGAACCUGGAAGCAACCUAGAUGCCCCUCAACUGAAGAGUGGAUAGAGAAAAUGUGCACCAAUUUACUCCAAAAGAGGAUGACAGGCAUUGAAAAACCUCCAAACAGUUUGUUUUCACUUGUGGCACAGUCACUGGGCAAAGAAACUGUCCUUGCCUCUACUGCUGACAUAUGCUGUCCAAAUUGGACGACCAGGACACAAAAGAAGGCAACUGCUGAAUCUUUGCUAUGACAAGGCUAAAGUUUGUAAAAAGAAGUUCUUAAUUGCUCUAAAUAAUGAAAACCUGGAGUCAGAUAUUGAGGAAAAUGCUGAGAGAUCAGAGAGAAGAAGGAGCAAGCCAAAGCCACCUUUACCUCCUUAGCAUCUCAGGGGACAAGAGAGCGAGUUCCUGUU